rnacentral:misc_RNA from 1 species
GUGGCUUCCACUCCAAAUUCAGGGCUCCUAACCUUCUCUUCUGGUACAUACUCUGAUAAGGUUCUGGGUAGGGAUUCAUUCCUGAGUCACAAAGGAGAUCCUGCAAAUUUGGAACAAGCUGAGAUUCCUGGUCAAUUAUGUUUCCAUAGGUGUCUUGUAUCAGGGGUCGAUAAUCACCAAGGAAGAACUGGUCAUAUUUAGCAUCCUGUUGGGAUUCACCUUGGCCUGUGUUUAAUAUAUAUAAUUGACCAACAUCAUCUGACAGUAUAAUGGACGUCCCAUCCGGUGAAAACUUCCCAUCAACUAACUUGAAACGUGAAAUCUCAUAGAUUUGGAUAGGUGUGCCCUCCCAUAUAUCCCACACUAUAGUUCUCCCAUCAUAGCCAGCACUCAUGGCAAUUCGUGGGUUGAA